rnacentral:lncRNA from 1 species
UGCAGUCUAUGUUUAUUCAAAUUUCUUUCUUUUACAAAACAAUCUAUGUUUCUGCUGUGUUUGUAUAUAUGUGGGUUGAGGUGUGCUCUGUUACUCCUCGAUCGGUCUUUUCAGUUUGGUAUCAGAGCAAGAAGAUUUUUUUAUAGUUAGUUUGAUUUGAAAUAAUGGCGGGCAAGGUGACGACAAUGAAGUAUGAGAUAC